GGGUUGCUUUUGUGAAGCUCGCGGUUGAAUAGUGUUGGUUAUUAGUGGGCCCCCUCUGGUAAGCAGAGCUGGCGAUGCGGGAUGAUCCGAACGAGCGGUUAAAGUGCCUUUGUGUUGGCUCAUGUAGAUCCCAUAAAAGGUGUUGGUUCAUUUAGACAGCAGGACGGUGGCCAUGGAAGUCGGAAUCCGCUAAGGAGUGUGUAACAACCCACCUGCCGAAUGAAGUA
rnacentral:rRNA from 1 species